rnacentral:snoRNA from 1 species
GCAUAUGUCAUGAUGACUUCAGACUUUUUUCCCCACCAGACUGGCAAUGCUGAUGCGAACCUCUGUUUUAGCCAGAUUGACUGAUUCCACAGAUGC